rnacentral:tRNA from 1 species
UGCGGGGUAGUGUACGGCGCACAGGAGGCUCAUAAUCUCCUAGGCUAGGUUCGACUCCUAGCCCCGCAA